rnacentral:lncRNA from 1 species
UUUGAUUGAGUUGUUGACCCUAAUUGUAGAGUAUCCUCACUUGGAGAGGAUUUGAUUGGGUUGUUGACCCUAGUCGUAGGGCAUCCUCACUCGGAGAGGAUAGAUCUAACUCACAGUCUAUUUUUGGGGUGGUAUAGCCAUCCAUAUCCCCACAUGGAGGGGAUUGUCGUCGAGUACUCCGGAGUGUCGGGCAAUUAGGACCACUUGGAGGUCCGGUGUAGCACACUGGACCUUUGCAAAUUGCGAGGUUCGAGUGUUCGAUUUGUAUUCCGAACUUUUCCACACUUGGUGGAGGGCCGUCAAUGGUAUACCGGCCUAAAAGUUCGAUCUCGAGAGCUUUGGCAGAAUACUGAGAGUUUUUACUCUCGGGGACCGGUCCCUGAUAGGAGAGACCAGUCCCCUAGUGAACAGUGCUGCGUAGCCGGCGAGGCAACCGGUCCCUGGCAGUCGAGACCGGUCCCCGAGCGCGUCUGCGCGGGGAGAGACCGGUCCCGCGCAGGGAGAGACCGGUUCCCGAACGUUGGAUUUUCGGGGGCAGGCUGAGAGACCGGUCCCAGGUCGGGGAGACCGAUCCCUUUGGGNNNNNNNNNNNNNNNNNNNNNNNNNNNNNNNNNNNNNNNNNNNNNNNNNNNNNNNNNNNNNNNNNNNNNNNNNNNNNNNNNNNNNNNNNNNNNNNNNNNNCGUUUGGUUCUGCGACGCACCACCUGACGGCGAGCUUAUAGGCUUUGGUGGCGGUGGAACAUUCGUGUGGAGGAUCCCGUACUGAUGCCGUCCACUAUCAUGUGCGAACUCAGAUUCAAGGAUUGUUGAUUGACUACUUAUUUCCUCAGAGUGUAAAGAGACAGGGGGAUGGAAAGGGGAUUUUGGGAAACUUUCGACUGAAGGCAGGACAGAAACAGUGGCACGUCGAUGAGCGAGGAGUUCUCGCCGAUUAACUGCAUUGCGCUUACUUUGGUAGGGUCGAGGAUUGAUAGGACAAGGCUCGUAUUCUUUGGAGGUGGUUUGCACGGGCCUGCGAUUUUCAGAUUUGGGUCCAGGUGUCAACCUCUCACUUACCGGGGAUGCCAGCUGAACCGGCCGUUGACGUCGAGAAGGCCCAGAGAUAAUGAAGGAAAGAGAUGUUGUAGAUCGAAGCGCAAAGGGAAGAGACCUGCAGGUGAAGCAGUGGUCAGCAUCCAUUUAGAGGGCACCCCAAGACGUAUCCGGGAGGUCGACAGGUCGACAGUCGAGGGGUCCGCGUUUCCUUCCGGCCCCGUGGGAGCACCCGAGGCGUCGUCGACGCACCGCUGUAUUAUCUGUGGUGCGCCUCACGUACCGCGGCCACAGUUUCCACAGGCGGUGGGGGCAGGUCUUUUCUUUGCCUGCUAGGAGGGGCCACUUCGGUUCAAGUGCCCCGGAGAGGUUCUUUGCCCUGCGACCCCUCGGGUCAGCGAACUGCCACCGUGCAUCUUCAGCUUCGGAGCCAGGACCCCACACGCGUAGUCGAGCUCUAGGCCGACCACCAGGCACAGCGGGCAUUCAGAAGAGUUCCGCCCAGCAGGGUCGGACGGUGGGCGCGAUGCUAUGGGGUCGGCCCAGACGAAGGCCCGCCGCCAGCAGUACAGGAGGUCGUAGCCAGGUCAUUAUUGGAUGCUUAUGAUAUUCGGUUCGGUGCAUUAUUUGGCCCCUCCUGGUGCUCACAUCUUUUUAUUGAUCGGUUAGCUUCGUGUUAUGUUGCCAAUUGUAUUCCUUAGCACCUAAUUUGCAUCUGCGGACGGAGCUGAUUGGUUUACCGAACCGAUACCCUAGCAUGCUUCGUGGACUUUUGCCCCUCGCUGCCCAGUUAGGGUAGCCCGAGCGAUUAUGCCAUUGAAUAUUAUUUGGCCACACAUCAAACUAGGUGAUUUGAUAUAGUAGUGCGGUUAGCGAUUGGUUGACACAGUAUUAUUCCGACCAUAGAUUGCCCCACGAACAGAACUUGUGACCUUUAGGGAAGCCGGGUUUCAACAAGGAUUUGUUUAUAAGGGGUGUCAGAGUCAUUUUGUCGCAAUUACCAUUAGCUCUUCGAGGAGCACGACAGUUGAUACGGAGCAGGAUGUGUAGCCUAUUUGGCUUAGCAUUUCUGUGAGUGACGGAGAAAGCCGGUCAAGAUUGAUGAUAUCCCGGUCUGGUUUGCGAGAAUUCGGGGAUGUGUUUUCAGCCUAAUGGCCGGCCAUGCCACCCCGAUAGGGAAGUUGGAGUUUGUGAUUGGACCUUGUCCCUGGACUAACCCCUAUUUUAAAAGCCCCCUAUAGGGAUGGCCACCCGCUGAAUUAGAAAGAGCUGAAAGGCACAGUACAAGAUCUUUAGAUGAAAGGAUUUAUUCGACCAAGUGUAUCGCCCUGGGGAGCACCGGUGUUAUUUGUAAUAAAAAGGGGAUGGAUCUUCUUCGAUGUGCGUGGAUUAUCGAGAAAUCAAACAAAGUUCACAAUCAGAGAAUAAAUAUCCAUUGGCCUAGAAUUGGAUGACUUAUUUCCAUCAGCUGCAAGGAUCGAAAAGUUAUACCUUCCAAAAUCGAUUUGUGCAAAUCAGGCUAUUCAUCAGCUUCAAGACUUAAAGCCUGAAGAUGUUUCUAAACUGCUUUUUGUAUAUACACUGUUAUGGGCAUUAUUGUUAAUUUACAGUCAUGCUCCGUUGGAUUAACAAAUGCUAUUUGGUUUUAUUAUGAACCGUGUCCUUUAAGCCCCUAUUUGUACGGAUUUGGUGGUAUGUUUUAUUGAUGACAUCUUGAUUCUCGAAGUGACAAAAUGGAUGAUAUGACAUUUGUAUGUAUGUGGUUUCAAGUAUCUUCGGGCGAAAAGGAAUUAUUAUCUUUUGCCAGCUAAGAAGUGCAUUUUGUGUUCCUUCGAGGAAGUGGAUUUUCUGGGCCAUGUGAGUUCAGAAACUGUGUGAUAUUCUGGAUAUCCCAAAGAGUGUAAAUGUGAUAUAUGUUUUUUUUGGCUAUGUCCGACAGUGUCACAGAAAUUCGGAUUGUUUUUUCCUCUUGGUUUAGCGGAUAUCUACCGAAGGAUUUGUAGAAGAAUUUGCGAAGAUUGUCUACUUCCUCGUCACUCGACUCUUAUUUUAAAGGAGCCUAAAUUUUAUGGAUGAAAGCUGCGGAAAAAAAGCUUUUCAAGAGCUGAAGGAUCUCUCUCUGUGUGACUACCGGCCCGAUUCUGGCUUUGCCUGUAACUGGAGUGGAUUAUGGGAUUUACAGCGAUGCCAUCACUGAAUGGAUUUAGGUGUGUUCUAAUGCAGAACGGCAGGAGUAAUUGCUUUAUGCUUAUCUCGCAAUUAAACGAUUAUGAAAAAAAACUACCCUACACAUGAUCUUGAGGUUAGCAGCUGGUGGUAUUCGCUUUAAAAGCUUUUGGCCCACCACUACCUCUAGCGGCGAGGCGUUGCGCCGAAGUUUAUACAGAUCAUAAAAGCUUAAAGUACUGUUCACUCAGAAAGGAAUUUAAACUUUGGAGACAACGUAGAUUGGUUGGAGGUUACCAAGGAUUUAUGGAUUUGCACCAUGCCUCUAUCACCUGGAAAACUGAUGUCGUUAAGCAGAUGCUUCUAAGGUCGAAAAUCGACGGAAAAUUUCGCGAUGUCGAUAACAAAGGCAAAUUGUUGGUAAAGGAAAUUGGUAGGCAAUUGAAUUUGGAAGUGGUAGCUCCGUGAUUACGGCCUUUGGGAGACUUAAAUGUCAUUAUGGUGCAACCUACCCUGAUUGAAUCAAUAAGGAAAGCAAACUUCAAGUAUGGAAUUCCUGCAGAAGAAUUCGCGGAUAAGAUCACUUGGUGAUCAUGAGUAGUGAUUUUCGAGUAGAUGAUCAGGGAUUGUUGAAAAUUCGGUGAUAGGCUCUUAUUGUAACCGGCAGAUUCUGUAUGUAAAGAAGAGAUUCUUAGCCAGAAGCACAUGGGCGGCCGUAUACUGUUUUACACCCGGGGAGUACGAAAAAUGUAUGAAGGAUUGAAGUUAAUUUACUUGGUGGCCCUGCGAAUGGAAAAGGAAAGUUGCAUACCUUGCUGGGCUUAAGUGCUUAACGUGGUCAGCAGGUUAAUUGCUGAACAUUCGACUUCCUGCGGAAAACUUCAGAGUCUUACCCAUUACCAGGUGUGGACAAGUGGAGAGGAUCACUAUGCGAUUUCAUCGUUGGCAUUACCUCGGCUGCACAAGGCGGUCACGAUGCAAUUUUGGUAAUUGUUGAUCUAUUGGACUAAAUCUGCCACUUUAUUCAAUCAUACGGUGUGUGGACGAGGGAAAGACUCGCACAAGUGUUAUUUGAUGCAAAUUGUGCAAUUACACGGAGUACCUGGCUUGUCGAUUGUUGUCAGAUCGGGAGACACCCGGGAUUUCUUUCACAUUUGCUGGAAGGAGCUUUACAGGAGCAUUAUACUCGAUUGGAUUUUAGUACUUCCUUCCACCCCAGGAGUGAUGGGCAGUGUCUGAGGCCCGUACCAUUCCAGACCCUUGAGGAUAGUUGCGGGCCUGUGUGGAUUUGAUUACCAGGGCCAGUUGCGCCACAGUCUUGCCUAUGGGGCAAAUUUGCUGGUAUAACAAUAGUCUAUCAAAGCAAGUAUUAAAAUGGCACCUUUUUGAAGCCCCUUUAUGGUAGAAAGUGCAUAUCACCACUUCAUUGGAGUGAAGUUGGGGGGAGAAUUGCGUUUUUGCGGUCCAAACGUAUUACAAGAAAGGGCUGGAAGUUGCUAAAAGUUCGACUUGCGCGCGGAACGUCUUGACAGCCCAAAGUCGGACACAAAAAGAGUUUAUGCGGCAAACGUCGCGGCGAGAACUGGAAUUUCAAGUUGGCAUCAGGUAUUCCUAAAACGGUUUCCCCGACGGAAAGGAGGUUAAGAGAUUUAGCAUUCGGAGGAAAGUUGGUUAUGUCCUCGGUUCAUUGGACCCUACGGAGGUGUUGGAGCGGAUAGGGCCCCGUAGCGUUAUCGGCUUGCUUGUGCGCGAUCUCUUCGGGAGUACAUUAAUUUUAUGUAUUUCAUGUAUCUACUCUACCGCGAAAUAUGUUUUUGAUUUCCAACUCACAAUUAUUUGGAGAGUAAACCCCAGCUGGAUUUACAAAGAAGGAUUUUUUGGAGCUUCGGAGGAGCCAUCCAGUUGAGGGAUAUACUCGAGAAGAAAAAACAGCUUCGAGAACCGCGAGAUCCCCUAACGUAAAGAUCCUUUGAGCAUCAUGGAUGAACGGGAAGCACUUGGGAAUUGGAGGAGUGCAAUGUGUAGAGGCACUACCCCUACCUUUCUCGAUAGAAUCUUGAGGUAAAGUGUUUUACAAGGGUUUCGGCGGACGAAACUUCUUUUUAGAGGAGUGAAUGCUAAUUACACUGGACUUUCGCCAAAUUGCAGAGUUCGAGUGGUUUGUGGAAUGAAGCUGUGGAAUUAUUCUACUUGUUCUAUUUGACUUGGACAAGUUUGAGAACAAGUUAGAGAGUGCAUUUGGAGUUAAAAGAAGAAAGAAAGUGCAUAACUGGCGAAAAUCAGCCCUUUUCUGCUUGCUGUACCUGCUACAGACAUUACCUUGUACCGGUACAAGCUGCGCAGAUUUCAUGGCAGGCAAGGUUAGUUUGUAUAAUUUCACACUUGAUCCCUAUCUAUUAAUGACCCCCUACACGACCCCAAGGGGAGUCAGGUGGAGUAUGCUUGGGAGCUCAGAGAAAGGUUGCUUCCACCUUCCUCACUCUCUUUCUCUAGGGUUUUCUCUCUCUACAAAGAAUUCCGCCGAUUUUCGCUCGUUUCGUUCGCCAGACGGUUUGGGUUCUUCGCUGUCGCCAUGUGUCGCAGGAAGCUUACGUGACGCGUGGAGAGAGUAUUUUUGAGGCGUUUCGCCAGCCCUGAAACAGUAGCUCACUCGGGUGGGCAAGUCUGAGAAAGGGUAAUCGGCCUCACUUUUCUCUAUCGACGUUUUCUUUAGUCGCUUAGUAUGGAUUUUUUGAGUUUAUGUGCUUGCUAGCUGUGAUUCUUCUGAGGUUUCAGCAAGUAUUAAAUGAAUUAUUAGUGUGAAUUUAAGUUCUAAGACUACGGAUCAGCCUUUUGAAAGUUAAAUUGGAGAGAAGUACAUUUAUGAAGCCUAAAAUGUAGAACUAAUUGCCUUAUUUUGCGCCGAAUUGAUGAAAUUAGAUUACUUCUUCGCAAGCAGGGUCUUCGAGCUCGUGAGAUGAACUUGUACGUCUUUGGGAAGGCUUGGUUUGGAAGGUAUUUUUACCCUAGGUUAAGCCAAAAUUUCAGUAGAAGCUGAAAUUGUCAAGAUUCUCGGACUAAUAAUUGCUUUAUAUGAUGGUUUGAUGUCGUUUCGUUUUUUUGUUCGCAGCGAGAGUGCCGAUUCGAGGCCUUGGAUCAAUCGUUAGUUGACUUGGUGAGAGCAAUUGGGAGACCAUCUUGAAGAUAUGUACAUCGUCCCAAAAUAGGCGAUUUAAGCGGGGUUUACUGUACUAAGUGUAGUUUAGGCCAAAUCGGAUAUUCGGCUCGUUUGCUAUUUUGAGUCGGAUUAGAUGUUGGACCUAUGGAGCUGAUCCUUGGACUUCCUUGGACUGAUUUGGGAGCCUAGUACUAGGUGGGUCGCGGACUAACCAGGAGCAAGUGGAAACUCCCUAGUUCUAUAUGUAUCUAUAAGGAUAGAUUAAUCGCAUUAGGUGCAUUGAGGGUGCUUAUGAUGUGAUUAUAGGAGAAUUUGAACAUAUCAUCGUGGAGUUUGUAUGCUUAGUAGAAUGAUAAACUCUUAUAAAGUGGAGAGAACAUACUAUACAUGAAAGUAUUUAUAUUCAUAUUCCAAUAUAGUUGAAUGAUAGAACAAAGUGUAGGAUGUACUUUAAAGUAGAGGAACAAUGACAUUCUCUUGACUCUAACGUAGAGAACUAUGACAUGCUCAUGACUAUGUUGAUAAAUGCCAUUUUGUUUUAGUCUUUGACCCUUCUUGGUCUACAAUCUAAGUGCAAUACUAGCUCUUGUUACUAUUGUGCUAUUGAAUUCGAUCAGAGGAUUCGAGGCGUAAGAACUUGCAAAAUGAAAAUAUGAAAAUGUGGGACAUGUGGCAAUGGACUUUGCUGUGCCAUUGUGCUCCAUUCGCACCGCUUGUGAGGGUUAUUACUCGCUACAACGGCAACUCCGGAGUUGGCCUACGCACAGUUGCUCGCCUGGCUGGGGAGGGUGCCGAAGUGGAUUGCGCCGGGGUUAUAAUACACUUUGUGAUGGUUAGGCGGGCAGUGGACUACCUUGAGUAGGUCCUAGUGAAUUGAAAAUUGAAAAUGAAAAGGAUAGAAUGAUAGUAAAUGAUGAGUAUCGUUGUAGUCAGUACUAGCAGUAUUCACUUCUAUGGAUUUAUGUUUUAUGUUCAUGUUAUAGAGUUCGAUUACUUCUAUCUAUCCAGUUGACUUUAUUACUGCAGGAAAUCAUGUUUACAUGUUGAAUAAUGCGCUGUUACCGGUUAGCACUGCUUAUUUCUAUAUUCAUGGCACUCUAUGCUUUUACUACUUUGCAGUACAUUCAUGAGCCUAGUGGUUUAAUUGCCGAGUCUGCUGACGGCUUACGCCACUGGGAAUAUUGUAAAUUAGUUUACCGCCCUUUUUUGGUGUCUGGUUUUUAACUAUAGCCAUCUGCAGGAGAGGCUAGCGGAUCGCUGGCAGGAGUCGGCUCUAGCUAGACUUUGCGUAGGAGCGUGCUAGUCGAUCACCUGGCUACUCGGGCUGACGGCGGAGGGUGAUGUCCAUUGUUAUAGUCGGGAUUACCUUUGUACGAUAUUUUGUGUACCUGUGUUGUAUAUUGAAUUGUAGAUCCAGAUGUGUUCUAGUUCAUACUUUCUCCUCUUUCGCUUGAAGAUUUGGAUUGUAUACCCUCUUUGUUAUUUUACUGAUGGUACUUUCUGUUCUUAUACAUGCUCUGACUGAUCAGGAUAGGAUCUCUUUGUUUUACUCCUAUCGACUGCUUUCUUGUAGCUGCUUAUAUACUGGCAGGUGAUUAUGGCGGGGCUCUGUGGCACUGUUGCGGACUAUGCUUCGCUGGUCACCUUGGGGGUGACAGUCCCUAAAGACUCAACCCAGGGCUCUCGGGAUUACCAAACUAUAAUAUGGUUAUCCCCCGGGACCGACAGAGGCCCUCCCAGUAGCGCGCCCAGACCCGCCAUAUGUCUACACAUAUAAGGCGUCUACAACAACAGCAGAAAUAAAGCAAGAGAACUGUAACACACUAGACCUUUGCAAAUUGCGAGGUUCGAGUGUUUGAUCUGAGUGUCGAGCUUUUUUAGACUUUCUGGAAGGUCGUAGACAGUAUUCCGACCUAUGGCUCGCAUCCCGAGAAUUGUGGUUUCAAGCUAGUACUAAAAAACCCAAAAAAUUUGGAUUUUGGUUAGCUCUCAGGUAGCCUUCAGAGGCUGGUGUACCGGUACGGGGUGAUGGCUGUACCGGUACAGCCAUCAACUGUGGCAUUGUCUCAGCCGACCCGAGGCUCGGGUUGGGCGUUUUCAUGGGAGGUGUACCGGUACGCGGGCCCGUGUACCGGUACGCGGGCCCGUGUACCGGUACGCAGAGGCAAUUUUUCAGCUGUCCGAACUGCAGGGGGUUUUUCGCGUUUGUGCCUAAUCUAUUGAGCACCCACGCCCCUUAGGGCUUCUCCUGAGCCCAGAACACAAGGAGGAGAAGGUAGGGCACCCUCCCCUUCAUCUCUUUGGAUUUGGUCCCUGUCUUUUGGAUUUUUCUUGGAUUAACCUCUCUCUUUUUCCCUUUUGGUGCUAUUGCACCAUGAUUGAAACCAAGAGCUUGGAUUUGGAGCUUUGUGGAGGGAAGAUCUUGGGACUUAGUGUAUUUAGAGCUUCAUUUAAAGCUUCUAAGAGGUAAGCUUGUUGUUCUUUUCCUCUAAAUUGGAGUUUUAUUGUUAGAAUUGAGAUGAAACCCUAGAAUGAGGUUUUAGGGUUUAAUUUGGGCAUUUUGAAUUUAGGGCUUUUGGAGCUAGAUUGAGUGGAUUAGAGGCUUCCUUUUGGUUGGAUUGGAAGGGCUCUAACUCUCUUUUGGAGCUUUAGAGGAGAUUUUGCACUAGAGGUGAGUUUUCCUCACCUAUGCUUAAUUAGCUUAAUGAUUGAGCUAAGUGUUGUCCGUAUGGUUCGUGUGACGCUUGUUCUUGUACCUCUAGGAUACUAGGAGGCUAGUGGACACCCACAUUGGAGCAAACGAAGAGUUUCGUUGUCAUCGGUGGGUUUGGCUUCAUGAAAACGGGGCGAAAUGGCCCUAAGCUUUCUAAACCUUUCGUAUACUAUUUCUAAAUGCAAAUCUAUACUAAAUGAAAUUUAUGUGAAUUUUAGAACCCCUAAAAUGCAUGUGUUAUGUAUAAGAAAAUUUUCACUCUAUAUAGUAGAGCAUUCUGAGUAUUGUGGCAUGCAUUUGGGUUAAGCUUGGACUUAGUAAAUAAAAGUGUCAUAAAGGGGCACUUAGACUAGCACAUAUGAGACUAUUGUAUUGAGACUUAGAGAUAGGCCAUUGGACAUCUAUUACUUCCAUGUUUUAGACAUGAUGACAUAGAGAUAGGCCUAUGACAGAGUUGUGACUUAUUCCAUAUUGUAGACAUGAGGACUUGAUACUUGAGGUAUACUGAUAGCAUGCUUGCCAUUGUGCUCAUUCGCACAUGCUUGUGAGGGUCGCUCCCUACAAGCCGGCACUUCGGAGUUGGCCAUUGCGAUACGUUCGCCGUGCGGGAUUGGGCGCCGAAGUGUAUUGCCGUGGGAAAGGCUCAUUCCUAGGGUCGGGAUGUUGACUACCACGGGGCCAUUAGGCAGGGUAAAGCCAGACAGCCUUCGGGUGGGUCUUAUCAGAGCUGAACUUUAAACAGAUAAAGUGACAAGUGAACAUUGACUAGAAUAGUAAACAAUGACAUCUUUACUAUUACAUUGUGGACUUUGGGUAGUUGCAUAUUCAUGCAUUACAUGUUGGGUAUUCAUGUGUAUAUAUCUAGUAGUUGCUUUCUUACUCAUGCAAAUCAUGCUAAGUAGAGAUAUCAUGAUUAUUGGGUACUCGUUUAUUUAUUUAUUUACAGUGCAUUUAUCGCUUUUGUUAUAGUUGUACACUGACCCUCUUUUAUAUUCUCGGGCCUAGUGGUGCAUUUCACUGAAGUUAGUAAUUGCCCACUGGGAACUAUUAUUUAAUAGUUCUCACGUCCCUGUUUCUAUGUUUUUCUUUCAGAGCCUUCGGCACCGGCGGAGGCACGGGAUCGCGGCAAGGGUGUCGCUUAGCUAGCUCGUGGAGAGUUCUUUUGCGCUAGGUGGUUACUCCUCCUUUUUGUAUUUUGAGGGAGGGAGAGGUUUUGUGCCAUGUAUAGAGAGACCACCUUGUACUUCACUCAGCACUCAUUAUGGGGCUCCUAUUGUAUUUACUUUAUGCUUUAAUUUAGUGGAUUAUCAGCUUUAUGUUCUCUUCUUUGUUUUAGAACUAGUUGUAAAAUGCUCUGAUAUCACUAGAUCUCUUUGUAUUAUAGUUUUAAUUAUUGAAAAUUUUGUAGACGCCUUAUAUGUUUUAGACGUAUGGCGGGUCUGGACACGUGCCGGGUAGGCUUCUGCUGAGCCCCGGGGCGUGACAGAUUAAAUUGGUAUCAGAGCCUAGGGUUGAGUCUUAGGGGACCUAGCAAACCUUAGGCCGGUUGGACUAUAGGAAAUAGGCUCGUGAGAGACGAGGUCUAUUCGACUUGUGAGGGAAAGAAUCAUGAUUGGGUAUUAUGAUAACUCUAAAGAGUUAGAGUUGAUUGGAUUGUUUGGCUUCUAACUUCGCGGAGGGUUACGUUGGCGGCUGACAAUGUAACAUCGGGAGUUAGAUGUGGAUAACACUUCCUUACUUUCGCAUGAUUUGGGUUUUACUUUGAGCGGGGAUUCGAUAGCAUGAGUUACUAACUUGCGCUUUUAUACUGUUUCAGUGACGAUGCCGAUUACUCGCUCCCAAUCAGCCGGGGCGUACAAUGCGGCAAACCUUGAGGAGGUCGAGACCUCCGCUACCUCUGGAUCCAGCGAGGUCAGCGAGUUGAGGGGCCAGCUUGCGGCCCUUACUGAUUUAGUUACUCAGCAGGCGGAGGCGGCCCGACAGCAGACUGAGGCGGCACGCCAACAGAAGGCGCGGAUGAAGCGCCUGGAGCUCUACUCCUGCAGCAGGCAGCAGCUUCUAGGGAGACGCAGGGCCCUACACCGCCAGCACCCGUUGUGGACGUUGCACCGAGAGCGCCGUCCCCCGCGCCCAGUUCUUCGCGUGCGGCGCCUGUGGCAGCAACCCAGGAGGAGGUUUUGGUGGCACCACCUGUGCAGAGGCCCCCAGUUGGAGCUGUAUUCCCUACCUUGGUCGAGGGGCGGAGCGAGAUAGACUGAUGGAGCGCCUCAAUGAGUUCAGGAGGUGCAGCCCCCGAGUCUUCGACGGCGAGAAGGUCGACCACUGGAUCGUGGAGAAGUGGUUGAUGCAUAUGGAGAAGCUCUUCCGCGACACCUUCGUGGAGGAGAGGGACAGAGUUUGGCUUGCCACUCACCAUCUGGACGGCGAGGCCUAUCGCUGGUGGUUGGACCUCCAGGAGCACCCCAGUACGGACUUGGCAGCUAUUACUUGGACGAGAUUCAAGGAACUUCUCUUGGCGCAUUACUUCCCGACGAGCGUCAAGAAGAAGAUGGAGCAGGAUCUGCGCAGCAUGCGCCAGGGAGACCACACCGUAGCCGAGUACGAGAGGGAGUUUUCACGGCUUCUGCAUUGCGUGCCUUUCGUCGUGCGGGACGACGAAGACAAGGCCCGCAUCUUCGAGCGAGGGUUGAGACCGUCUAUCUACCGGUUUGUGCAAUCCUCCAACCUCCAAACCUACCGGGAGGUGGUGGAUCACGCGCUCAUUGUGGAGAGUGGCGCGGCAGAGAUGCAGGAGCGGCGAGAGGGCUUGGAUAGGGGUAAGGCCAAGAGGCCUGCGACGGAGGGUGCGGGCCAUAAGCACUCUAGGAGGCCGCCGAAGCACCCCAGGAGCCAGCAGCGUGGGCGUGACCCGGCGCCUCAGCAAGGAGGAUCAGAGCGACGCCGGCCCUUCCCGUGUGUGAUCUGUGGUGGUCCUCAUCACCCACCGCAGUGUCCACAGCGAGCGGGCAGGUGCUUCCAGUGUGGCCAGGAGGGCCACGUGCAGACCGAGUGCCCGAGGAGUUUUUCACCAGCACCGUCGACUGCUUCAGCACCGGCUUUACCGGCCACUAGCCAGGGGACUCCAUCGGCACAGUACCAGCCUAGGCGGCCACCCGUCCAGCGUCAGAGCGAGGGAUCACACCAGGCCCCGAGUGGCCGCAUGUAUGCCGCUCAGACCGAGGAGGCGGCGACAGCCGGGGAUGUGGUUGCAGGUAUCUUUUUACUUGAUGGCAUUAGAGUUCGUGCAUUAUUUGAUACCGGUGCAUCACAUUCAUUCAUAGAUCGGCUAUUCGCCGAGUUGCAUGGCAUCCAGUUAGUUCCAUUGUUGCAUCCAGGACAGGUUGUAGUACCCGACCACACCCUUGAUAUUCGAGAGUUUGCCCCAGCUGCCCUGUGCGUAUAGGGGAUUGGAUUAUGCCUGUGGAUUUGCUAGCCUUGCGCAAGUUAGGGGAGUUUGAUGUGGUCUUGGGUAUGGAUUGGCUAACUAGGUACUAUGCCACCAUCGAUUGCAAGAAUUGCACGGUUACUUUUAGAGAACCGGGGCAAGUUGAGGUGAUUUUCAGAGGAUGCCAGAGUUCGCUUUUCGCGAUGACGAUCAGCUCGUCUCAAGCUAGGCAGCUGAUCGGUAGAGGCUGUGUAGCCUUUUUGGCUAGUGUUGUGUUGAGGGGCGUUGAUGAUACGCCUAGGCUUGAGGACACUCCGGUGGUAUGGGAGUUUCAGGAUGUGUUUCCAGCUGAACUACCGGGUAUGCCUCCUGAUAGGGAGAUUGAGUUUGUGGUAGAUCUCGUCCCUGGGACUACCCCAAUCUCAAAAGCACCCUAUAGGAUGGCACCGGCGGAGUUGAAGGAGCUGAGGGCACAGCUACAGGAUCUUCUGGACAGAGGCUUCAUUCGGCCGAGCGUCUCGCCUUGGGGCGCUCCAGUUUUGUUCGUCAAGAAAAAGGACGGAUCGCUUCGCCUAUGUGUGGAUUAUCGUGAGCUCAACAAAGUCACGAUCAAGAAUAAGUAUCCGUUGCCGAGGAUUGACGAUUUAUUUGAUCAGCUUCAGGGAUCGUGUGUGUAUUCCAAGAUAGACUUACAGUCGGGAUACCACCAGUUAAAGAUUAAGCCCGAGGACGUUUCAAAGACGGCUUUCAGGACACGGUAUGGACACUAUGAGUUCACAGUUAUGCCGUUUGGGCUUACUAAUGCCUCGACAGCUUUUAUGGAUCUGAUGAACCGUGUCUUUAAGCCUUAUCUGGAUAGGUUCGUCGUGGUGUUCAUCGACGAUAUUUUGGUCUACUCUCGAAGUGAUGCAGAUCACAAGGAGCAUUUGAGGAUUGUACUCCAAGUACUUCGGAAAAAGGAGCUCUAUGCCAAGUUGAAGAAAUGCGAAUUUUGGCUUCGAGAGGUAGCAUUCCUUGGACAUUUGAUUUCAGGAUCAGGCAUCGCCGUGGACCCGAGAAAAAUUGAGGCUAUCAAGGAUUGGCCAAGGCCGACGAGCGUUACGGAGAUACGGAGCUUUCUUGGCUUGGCCGGCUACUAUAGACGGUUCGUUGAGGGAUUUGCAAGGUUAUCUACUCCCCUCACGAGGCUCACGCAUAAAGGUGUUAAGUUCAUUUGGAAUGAUGCAUGUAAAAGGAGCUUCCAAGAGUUGAAGCAAAGAUUAACUACCGCUCCGAUCCUAGCCCUACCAGUCGCUGGCGCAGGGUAUGUGGUUUAUAGUGAUGCUUCUUUUAAUAGAUUGGGUCGCGUUUUGAUGCAGGACGGCAAAAUGAUCGCGUAUGCUUCUCGCCAAUUGAAGGAGUAUCAAAGAAACUAUCCUACUCAUGACUUGGAGUUGGCGGCCAUAGUCUUUGCUUUGAAGCUAUGGCGCCACUAUCUUUACGGCGAGUGAUGCGAAGUAUAUACGGAUCAUAAGAGCUUAAAGUACUUAUUCACUCAGAAGGAGUUAAACUUGAGACAGCGCAGGUGGUUGGAGCUACUCAAGGAUUACGAUCUUACUAUUCUCUACCACCCGGGCAAGGCUAAUGUGGUGGCAGAUGCGCUAAGUAGGAAAUCGAUGAAAAACUUAGCGAUGUAUGUCGUGACUCAACCGCCGUUGUUCGAGCAGAUGAGGCGGUUGGAGUUGGAGGUGGUGGCUCCUGAUACCCCUUUGAAACUGAUGACUUUAGUAGUGCAACCUACAUUGCUGGAUAGAAUCAAAGAAAAGCAAGCCACCGAUGAGGGAUUGCAAAAGAUUAGAGGAAAAAAUGAUUGAUGGUUGCUCCGACGAUUUCCUUGUGGACGACCGAGGGUUGAUGCAUUUUCGGGGACGACUUUGCGUUCCGGCAGAUUUGGAAAUUAAAGAAGACAUUCUCCAAGAAGCGCACCGGGCGCCCUAUGCUAUACAUCCGGGUGGCACCAAGAUGUACAAGGACUUGAAACUGCUUUAUUGGUGGCCCGGGAUGAAAAAGGAUGUUGGCGAGUUCGUUGCUAGAUGUCUUAACUUGCCAACAAGUGAAAGCGGAACAUCGAGUUCCCGCAGGGAAGCUUCAGAGUUUACCUAUACCUGUGUGGAAGUGGGAGAAGAUCACCAUGGACUUCGUGACAGGAUUGCCUCGCUCUCAACAGGGCACGAUGCUACUUGGGUGAUCGUGGAUAGGUUGACGAAGUCGGCGCACUUCGUGCCUAUUCAUACUACUUGGACCGGGGAAAAGCUCGCACAAGUGUACCUUGAUGAGAUUGUGCGGCUUCACGGAGUGCCUACUUCGAUUGUAUCUGAUCGAGACACCCGGUUUGUGUCUCACUUUUGGAGGAGUCUGCAGGACGCCCUUGGCACUCGAUUGGACUUCAGCACUGCUUUCCACCCACAGAGUGAUGGACAGUUGGAGCGCACUAUUCAGACCUUAGAGGAUAUGCUCUGGGCAUGUGUGAUAGACUUCUAGGGAGGAUGGUCGCAGCAUCUACCUGUGGCGGAGUUUGCUUAUAACAACAGUUAACAAGCAAGCAUCAAGAUGGCGCCCUUCGAAGCACUUUAUGGACGGAAGUGUAGAUCGCCGCUUCAUUGGAGUGAAGUUGGCGAGAGACUGGCUUUAGGCUCUGAUGUGCUCCAGGAAGCUGAGGACAAAGUUCGCAUCGCUCGGGAGCGACUUUUGACGGCGCAGAGUAGACAGAGGAGCUACGCUGAUCAACGGCGGCGGGACUUAGAGUUCCAAGUUGGAGACCAUGUCUUCUUAAAGGUCUCGCCGACUAGAGGAAUAAAGAGAUUUGGGAUUCGGGGAAAGUUGAGCCCCCGUUUCAUUGGACCGUAUGAGAUUUUGAGCGUGUAAGGCCGUAGCGUAUAGACUUGCCUACCACCGAACCUAUCCGGUGUACAUGAUGUCUUUCAUGUAUCAGUCCUCCGAGGUACAUUCACGAUCCCAGCUCACGUCUUGAAUGCUAUACCAGUGGAGCUGCAUUGAGGAUUGGAGGCUUCGGAGGUUUGUGGGGGGCAGGGGGGGCAAGGGCUUUUUUUUCUGUUUUCUCUUUGUUCGGGAUUUUGUCUUUUUGGGUUUUUGUUUGUUUAUUUUUUUUGCGGGGGUUAUUUUAUGUUCUUGCAUACAUUUGUGAGUUAGUUUUCGGAGGUUAGUGUCGGGUUAGGAUGCAGUGAAGAAGCUAGUGCUUGGAAAUUUAAUGUUUGGGAACAGGUUUUCCCUUUGUUAUUGAUAGAUUCUUGUGGCAAAUCGCACGGGAGUCUGGAGAUCUUUCUUUUACGUUCGGGAGUCUGAUAGAUCGCUUGUAUUUUGGCUUUAGGUUUGAUGUCGUUGCGGUAGGCUUUUGGCACUCUUGUGUAGAUUUUAGGUUGGCCUUGUGUUUUUUUUUACUUUUUUAGGUGUAAGAUGUCUUGAUGUAGGUUAAUUAUCUAGAUAUACCCGCAAUUUUCUUCUGUAGUUCUGGGCUUGUUUGUGGACGAAACCCUUUAGGAGGGUAAUGUAACACACUGGACCUUUCGCAAAUUGGCGAGGUUCGAUCUGUUGUUUUGAAUUGUUCUUUGAGUUUUGCCUUCCACUUUGUUUCAUCGAGGUUGUCUUGGUAAGGUCGUUUUAGUAUGUAGCAGGUGUUCUCGACAUUAGUAUUUUGUACCGCAUAUCUUGUAGAGAUGGUUUGGUUCUGUUAUUAUGUUUCAGUGAACGGUAACCGUUUUUUUUUUUUUUUUUUUUUUUUUUUUUUUUUUUUUUUUUUUUUUUUUUUUGUUUCUUGAUUUUAUUUGUUUUAGUUUUUGGAAAAAUCCAUCAUAAAAAUAUGGAUUUUGUUCAGUUCUUUCUUCGGUCUAGUCAUUUUUGUGAUGGUAUUGGUUACUUUGGUUGUCUGUGUUUGGUAUUUCUUGUAUUUGGUCUCUUUUAGUAGGCUGGCUUGGUUUAAGUGUGUCUCGCUUCCGGUAAUUUCGUUAUUCUGUAUGUUUUUGUUUGUUUUUGGCAUGGUUGCUCUCGGUUGUGAUGCUCUAAUUCGGUUUACGAGUUUGUGAGUUGAUAGAUGGCUGUUUAACCUUUGCUGAGUUAUCAUGUUUGUCCACAAAUGUGUCAUUUUGUCAUUUCAGCCAUGUAGGCCGAGUGGCGAUUUAUUUGUUGUGUCCUUUUACGAGAGAGGGUAUGUACGGUUAACGACUUGUGGCUAUUGCUCCUGUUGUAACUGUUUCACUUUUUUCUGUGGGUAGCGUUGCGAUCAAGUAGCUUUCUGUCAUUAUUUUUUUUAGUUUUUUUACUUUUGGCGUGGAGCUUCCCCGAACUAGCAUGGUGGGUUUUUUUGUGUAUUGUGCCUAAACUGCGUAGUUAGGUCACCUUCACUUCGUGAUAUGCUUGUUAAGGGCUUCUCCUAGAGCCACGCAACACUAGGGGAAUAGGGAGAAGGUAGGACAUGUACCAGCCUCCCUUUUUGCAUUUGCUCUUGUGUGGAUUUGUGUUCACGUCAUUCAUCUUUUGAUUUUUUGGAUUAGAUUUUGCUCAUCUCUUUUUUCAACUCAUUUUUUGUUGCUUAUUUGUGGUAUUGAUUUUUCACCAUAUUUGGUUAUUAUUUCCAGUCUAAUUGAGUCUUUGUGAUUUUUAGUAGUCUUUAUUGUUGGAUAUAACGGUGGAUAGAUCUUAGGACUUAGUGUAUUUAGAGCUUGAUUUAAAGCUUCUAAGAGGUAAGCUUGUUGUUCUUUUCCUCUAAAUUGGAGUUUUAUUGUUAUAAUUGAGAUGAAAUCCUAGAAUGAGGUUUUAGGGUUUAAUUUGGGCAUUUUGAAUUUAGGGCUUUUGGAGCUAGAUUGAGUGGAUUAGAGGCUUCCUUUUGGUUGGAUUGGAAAGGCUCUAGCUCUCUUUUGGAGCUUUAGAGGAGAUUUUGCACUAGAGGUGAGUUUUCCUCACCUAUGCUUAAUUAGCUUAAUGAUUGAGCUAAGUGUUGUCCGUGUGGUUCGUGUGACGCUUGUUCUCAUACCUCUAGGAUACUAGGAGGCUAGUGGACACCCUCGUUGGAGCAAACAAAGAGUUUCGUUGUCAUCGGUGGGUUUGGCUUCACGAAAACGGGGCGAAAUGGCCCCUAAGCUUUCUAACUAUUUUUAAAUGCAAAUCUAUACUAAAUGAAAUUUAUGUGAAUUUUAGAACCCCUAAAAUGCAUGUGUUAUGUAUAAGAAAAUUUUCACUCUAUAUAGUAGAGCAUUCUGAGUAUUGUGGCAUGCAUUUGGGUUAAGCUUGGACUUAGUAAAUAAAAGUGUCAUAAAGGGGCAAUUAGACUAGCACAUAUGAGACUAUUGUAUUGAGACUUAGAGAUAGGCCAUUGGACAUCUAUUACUUCCAUGUUUUAGACAUGAUGACAUAGAGAUAGGCCUAUGACAGAGUUGUGACUUAUUCCAUAUUGUAGACAUGAGGACUUAAUACUUGAGGUAUACUGAUAGCAAGCUUGCCAUUGUGCUCAUUCGCACAUGCUUGUGAGGGUCGCUCCCUACAAGCCGGCACUUCGGAGUUGGCCAUUGCGAUACGUUCGCCGUGCGGGAUUGGGCGCCGAAGUGUAUUGCCGUGGGAAAGGCUCAUUCCUAGGGUCGGGAUGUUGACUACCACGGGGCCAUUAGGCAGGGUAAAACCAGACAGCCUUCGGGAUGUUGGGUAUUCAUGUGUACAUAUCUAGUAUAGUUGCUUUCUUACUCAUGCAAAUCAUACUAAGUAGAGAUAUCAUGAUUAUUGGGUACUCGUUUAUUUAUUUAUUUACAGUGCAUUUAUCGCUUUUGUUAUAGUUGUACACUGACCCUCUUUUAUAGUCUCGGGCCUAGUGGUGCAUUUCACUGAAGUUAGUAAUUGCCCACUGGGAACUAUUAUUUAAUAGUUCUCACGCCCCUGUUUCUAUGUUUUUCUUUCAGAGCCUUCGGCACCGGCGGAGGCACGGGAUCGCGGCAAGGGUGUCUCUUAGCUAGCUCGUGGAGAGUUCUUUUGCGCUAGGUGGUUACUCCUCCUUUUUGUAUUUUGAGGGAGGGAGAGGUUUUGUGCCAUGUAUAGAGAGACCACCUUGUACUUCACUCAGCACUCGUUAUGGGGCUCCUAUUGUAUUUACUUUAUGCUUUUAUUUAGUGGAUUAUCAGCUUUAUGUUCUCUUCUUUGUUUUAGAACUAGUUGUAAAAUGCUCUGAUACCAUUAGAUCUCUUUGUAUUACAGUUUUAAUUAUUGGAAAUUUUGUAGACGCCUUAUAUGUUUUAGACGUAUGGCGGGUCUGGACUCGUGCCGGGUUGGCUUCCGCUGAGCCCCGGGGCGUGACAAGAACAAAAGAAUCUAACGAUGUCAGAGCAAAGUAAAUAACUAAGUUCUACACAGAGGGGUAAGUAUAAAACUGAAAUCCACUAAUAAAGCCAUAGAGUAGUACAAAGAAAAUUUCAAAUACAAAAACUAAACAUAAAGAGUAUAUAGGUGGUCUCUCUAUACGUGGUUCUCAAAAUCUCUCUCUCUCUUGAAUACAAAAAAAGGAAAGAGUAAACCACCUAAGCUCACAAGUAGCUUCCAGCUAACUAGCUACACGACUCCCUUGCUGCGAUCCCGUGCCUCCACUGGUGCCGAAGGCUCUGAAAUAACAUCAAGAAAAGAGGGUAUGUGAACUAUGAUUUAUAGUUCCCAGUGGACAAUUACUGACCUUGGCUCAAUGCACCACUAGGCCCCAAAAGAAAAGGGUAAGUCCAAAAGCAACAAUAAUAAUAAAUGGAUUGCAUUUAUAGAAGCAUGAUUAAAUUGCUAAACUACUAUGUCGCAAAUAAACAUGAUGUCAAAUGUGAUGUACAUCUACUUUAUCAAAAUGAAGCAUGUCCAAGCAUGACUAAUAUGUCCCAUCAUAACGAACAAGUAGGCUAUCAUGAUCCACUAUAUCAAAGUAUGAUGAGUAUGCUCUAUCAUGGCAGCAACGUAUACUAUGAUGCAACAAUUAAGACUAUCAUGUAUACUACAAGUCCCAACACUAUGCUAUAAGCAUGUCAAGGUAAUCAAACUACUAAGCCUAUCUAGUAGUGAUAGUCAUUUCCCGAUUCAAUGUCAUUGUUUCCAACAUGUUCUAGGACCUACAUAGUGUAGUCCAGCUUGUGCCACCUAAGUGUUGGUGGUAGCUCGAGCAUUCCCACUCUAGGAAUGAGUCUAUCCCUCCCGACCCCGUAGGUUUCUUGAUACCGCACGAGCGAACAUAAGUCACGUAGGCCAACUCCGGAGUGCCGGCUUGUAGAGAGCGACCCUCACAAAUAUGUGCGAAUGAGCACAAAUGGCAAACAAGCGUAAUCAUCGUCUCAAGUACCCAAUCAUCAUGUCUCUAGCAUGGUAAUAGUCACUAGCAUCUCAACGAUCUAGCUCUAGGUCACAAUGUGAUGUUCCAACACUCACUAUGCUUAGUGCCUCUUUAUGACACUUAAGCUUGUUAUAAGUUAAGCACAUUUCAUAUUCUAUGUUCCAUUCAUGACAUUAGUACUAGGUUCUCAUCUAACCCGAGCUCAAUGCCCCUUUAUGACAUUAGCUCACUAACUCACAAGUCAAAUUAGUCCAAUGCUGCUUUAUGGCAUUAUAAUAGUUUCAAUAUCCAAUUGAGGUCUAAGUCUAUAGGCACUUUACAUAUGUCAUUUCUACUAUGUAAACAUGAACCCAAGUCUCUCAUAAGAAUGCUAAUGCACCUAUAUGCCUCACAUGCGAGUUCUCUACUUCAUAGAGGUCCGAAAAUACAAUGUAUGAAAUAUAGGCAUUUUAAGCAUUCUAAAAUUAUAAAUAAUACAUCUAAUAUGAUUAUGCAUACUUUUUCACUUAACGAUACUCAAUUCAUCACAAAUUAGAUUUUCUCAUUGUGUGGCUAGGUCAAACCCAUCGAACCGUCUCGGAAUCUUUCGUUUCGCCGAACGGAGUUGUCCACAAGUAUCUAAGUACCCUAAAGGUAUGGAGCGAACAGAUAAACAAACGUUACGAGCAACUCUAGGCUCAAACAUUAACCACCACAAGCAAAGGGGCAAAAACUCACCUAGGGAGUAGAAAAUCUCUCUCAAGCUCCAAAAGAGAGCUAGAUCCUUUCCAAUCCGAUCAAAUGGAAGAUCCUAAACCAAACAAUUGAGCCUCAAAAGCCCUAGAUCAAGAACGCCCAAAAUCAACCCUAAAAUCUCAUUCUAGUGUUUCAUCUCCUAAAAAUCAACAAAACAUGAUCUAGAGGGAAGAAAUGAGCAACUAACCUCCUUAGAAGCUCCAAUCCAAGCUCCAAGGGUGAAGAGAAGAUCUCCUCUCUUACAAGCACCAAGUCCAAGCCUUCAAGCACCAACAAGGUGGGAAGAGAAGGAGAGGAAAAGAAAUGCUCCAAGUCCUCAAGCUAGAUCCUCUUCCUCUUCUUCUCCUUCUUCUUCUUCUUCUUCUCUAUCUAGGGUGUUGGGAGAGUGAGAGAAGGAGAAAUGAGAAAAGAGAGAGGGUGAAAUGGCCAUAUAGGCCAUCAAAUGUAACAAAAUUCAAAGAGGCCCCUCAAUUUUCCAAUAUUGCAUCAGCCCGGACUGGGCAGUUUUCGAACUGAGGGACCGGUCUCCCCGACAUGGGACCGGUCUCUCGGCCUGCCCCAAAAAUCCAACGUUCGGGAACCGGUCUCUCCCAGCACGGGACUGGUCUCUCCCCGUGUGGACGCACUCGGGGACUGGUCUCACCCGCCAGGGACCGGUUGCCUCGCCGGCUGCCGAAACGCUAUUCUGAGGGGACCGAACUCUCCUAGCCAGGGACCGAUCCCCGAGAGUAAAAACUCUCAGAACUCGUCUAGAACUCAGGUUUUCGAACUUUUUAGGUCGGAAAACAUUCUACGACCCUCCAUCAAGUGUGGAAAAGCUCGAAACACAUCCAAUCACUCGAACCUCGCAAUUUGCACAGGUCCAGUGUGCUACAUCCAGUGUGUUACAUCGACACUCCUCUUCGAGUUAAAUAACUAAAAAAUAAAAACUAUAACAUAAAAAACUUCAUAUCAUUGUGACAGAGAGACUUGUAUACGAAAUCAUGGAGAAAAAUUACUAGCUGAAAUAUCAACAAAAUUGCUACAGCUGAAACAAAAUUAUACUUUACCAAAUUCAGAAAAAUAAUACCCUGUCAAUGUAAUAACCGAGAUUUUGAUCAAUAAAGAGAGAAUUGAAAUUUGAAUUUCGAAUUUAGAAUUCAAAUUGAUAUAUAUAUGUAUAUAAGUGUAUAUAUAUAUAUAUAUAUAUGUGUGUGUGUGUGGCUUUUUGGUGGAAACAAAGAGGGUUGAUUUCGUCGCGAAUCGGUGACCAAAGCGGAUGAAACGAAAUGCUAGAUUCGAUGCCCGAGUCGUGCUGAACACACUGGCGCGAUCCGAUCAGAAAUCAGACUGACGGAUCUUCGGGAAUCGCGAAGUAUUCACAGAGAGGUCGAAAUCGGCAAAACGGUAGAAUCGCGAAAACCCCUAUAUUUUAUGUGUCGUUUUGCGCGAAUUUGAACGUCGAGGGACUUGUGCGCAAAUAACACGUGCUGGCAGGGGACCUAGCUAGAAAUAUUGGACUUGGAUGGGCUUCCCUGCAAUAUUACACCUUGUAUAAAUGUUGUUUUAGGGUUCACCCAUGGAACCUUAACCCUAAUUCGCCCCCAGCUAACCCUAGUCCACCCAGCCGAUCUCAGCUCCCCCCUACCCUGCCCGUGCACGCGCCCCGACUGCCGACGAGCAGCCCCGGCUACCGAAAAUCCCUGCAGCACCUCCCUCUUCCCUCUCUCGGCCUCUCUCUCCUCCCUCUCGGCCAUAGAACUCGGGGAAGCUUCAAAACACCCCUGGAAGCUUUUCCCUUGGCUGAGGCCCAUCUCCGGCGCCGUCCCCCCGCGCCGCUUAAGCCCCCUAUGCAAACUGCGGCCAACCGAGCCAACUCGGACCGAGCUGACCUAGGCUUGGGACUCGUGCGCGGUGGAAGCCCUAGCUCGGCCGCCCCAUUGUCAACUGGCCGCCAGCGACCUCCAGCGCGCAUCCUCGCCGUCCCCGUACGCCGCCGGCCACCGCCCGAGCUUCCUGCGGCCGUCCGGGACACGUGCGGGCCGAGCUUGAGCACGCAGUGUCUCCGCGCGCCGCCGCCGCCCACCAUCGGGCGUGCCACCCUUCCCUCGGCCUCCGGCGAUGGAUCGUCGUAGCCCUGUGCUCCUCCGACCACCGCGCGGCCACCGUGGACCCAUGAACCCAAAAGCUGUUGGCGGGCUUGAUCUCCGCCGCCACCCCACCAGCUGCCGCCCACCGCCGGCCAGCACCUGCCCCGAACCCCUCGGACUGGCCGCACCCGUCCCCUGCUGGAGCGCCCGCCGUCCGGCCGCCGGCGACUAUCCUCAAGCUCCACUGCUCCUUUAAGGCUGUAGUUAUGUUUCAGCACUUUAUUUUGGGGUUUUGGUCGCCUUUCCGGCGAUCCGAAGGCACCCCGAUGACUGUGGAAGUGAGCACGAUCAUCCUCGUUUCGUGCUGAACAUCGUGCUCACCUCCAUUGGGGUCAACGAUGCCUUGGUUAGCGAGUUUGACGCGAUUUAGGCGCUAUGCGUGCUGUUUCGCUGAAGUUCGCAUCACUUGCACGGCGGCAACAGAGGCUGGCAGUGCUCCGAAGGGUGAGCACGGCCUCUGACACGCCGAGACCUAUCUGCAGGUGUCUUGGUUUGGCUGAUUGACCCCUGUUUUGCAUGGAUGGACCAUAAAAGCCUUGAAAUCACAUAAAAUAAUAGGAUUUCAUGAAUCGGAAGGGCUUUUAUGCAAAUGUGUUGGUUGUGGUCGCUGUGGGCAGCGUGUGCGGGCUAUGGGUGACCUCUGGACUGGUUGUCCAAGGUCCCAAGCCUUUUCGGAAAUCAAUUGUUGAUUUCCGGUGCAUUUUUCGGCAAAAUCUGCCGACAGAACACGGUUUGAGUUCGGAAUUCUUCCGACGGUGCCUUGUGAGCUAUUGUUAUGUCGCUGAGCCUUGUUGGCUGGUCACCCGCAUUGUUUCGAGGGUUCAAAAAUGACGAGUGAGCGACGGUGGGUUCCAGUGUCGAAAUUAACACUUCCGAAAACCCGGAUCGGAACGAUCCGAUGAUAAUCGUUUCGACGUGAAGUGAUGUGCGCUGCCAUGAACCAUGGAUAAUGGUGUUUUGUGGUAGCGGGUGACUCAUAGUACGAGUCGGUAUUUUUCGGGACAGUUCGUGGGUCCCGGCGGAGUCCUGGUGCGGUUUUCUGGACUUCCGGCGUGUUCGGCAAUCGAUUUUGGGAAACUGAUCCCGGGGUUUCGUUAGUGGGGAUUGUGAGUUAGCGUUAGAUGUUAGUGGGUUAGAUUUUAACCCAGUGGACCUUUCGUAGGUUUGGUUGUUUCGUCUCCACAGUCGAGAGACCAGUUCUAUAGUUGUACAGGUGGGUACUUCGAUCCGAAGUCGGUACAGUGGUGCACACUCGGUGAUAUCUUCUUACCCUUGCUUUCCUAUUAUUACUCCACAUUCAUAUAUUAUAUGUUGAGCUUAGCACCUACACUGUGUUCCUUGUUGCUCUACUUAGUUACCUUGCAUAUCCUGCAUCAUGUUUAGAGUAGAGCAGUUUUGUGAUAUCUAUGACCUGGUUGGUCGGUUCUCUUAUCCCGUACCUAUGACCAAUGGGGUCGGUUUACUGCAUUUACUUUUGUGACCUACUUGGUCGGUUAGACUUUUGGUGACCUAUACGGUCGACACGCCCUGAAGGGCAAGAUUGUCGGCUGGUUGCCGACGGUUGGCUAUUGAGCAUAUCAGCAUCGAUCGCUCGAGACUCGUACGCAUUUCACGAACACCAGCGGUCUGAUCCACCGUAAGAGGGUGUUCUUUUCCGGAAAAGUGGUUGUAUAAUAUACCGAAACUCGGUAGAGAAUAUCGAACUUUAGCUGAAUUGACUAAAGUGUGUGAAGGAAAUAGUUGGACGAAGUCCAUUUAACAUUCCAACAAGGUUGGAAGGGUUAAAGUUGAGUUCCAAAAGAGUUAGAAAGGUUUUAGCAUUGCUCAGCGCGAAUUGGAGUCGAAACGAUGCAAAAAUUGAGGUCUGGAACUUUUGUUACCGGUAAUGCAUUGAACUUGUACCGGUACCAGGCAGCAGACCGAGAGAAGCAGCUCUCGGGUUUGAAAAAUCUUGGCUGUUAAACCGGUGACAAAAUAUCCUGUACCGGUACCAAGUGUAUUACCCAAGAAGGUUGCUCUCGGGUUUGGCUGUACACGAUGUGUAACCGGUGACAAAUUCACCUUGUACCGGUAUGCAGUGCACUUCGCAGCAGACUUUGGUCUGCUGCAAAUAUGAAUUGAGGGAGGGUCUUUUUGCAAUUUUGGCAGCCUAUAUAAAACCCCACACUCCCUUUCUCUCCCUUUCACAGCAAAACACCCUCUCCUCUCUAAUUUUGUCCCUCUCUCUCUCUCUAGGAGCUCUCCACCAAGGCUAAAGGAGGAGAUCAAGAGGAAGUUUUGGGGUUUUGAAGACUUGGGGACUCUCCUACAAGGUGGACCUUGGAGAGCUAGUGGGCUAAGGUAAGGUUUUGUCACGCCCCGAGUUCACAACGGAAGACUACGGGAUGCUAACAGACCCACGAAAUGGAGAGAGUUUUCCCUGUCCGAACGAAGCGGCAAAAAUAUCAAACAGUUUUCGAGAAUUACAAGAAACUAUCGGGCACAAUACAAGUAUUAAAAGGAGUCAUGAAAAGCCAAAAGACGAGUAGCAGAGCACUAUACAUAAGCUGAACCACCGAACAACAAGAAACUAGUAGUAAGAUACAUAAAUUCACACCCAAAAUCAAGUACAAGCAAAUGGUCCUGGCCUGCGCCAGUCUAAAGAAAAGUACGAUGGCUCACUAUCUGGAAGUCUGCUACAGAUAAGUAUACUGGUAGGGUGGCUAACUAGGCGCAAUCCCCUUACCUCGCUCAACUGAUGGUGCACCUAUCCCUGAAAAAGGAGACCACAAAAGGGCGUGAGAACUACUAAUAGCAGUUCCCAGUGGGUACGGUCGGCGACGACAACGACCUUCCCACUAGGUCUAAAAGCAAAAGUAACUAAAAGAGCGGUAACUAGGAAAAGAAAACAGAGUAACACUAAAUCGUAGUGCAAGGUAAGAACUCCACAUAUAGAGAAGUACACAGUAAACUGAAUGCAGAGGACUAACAAGAAUUCAACUAGUAUUAUAGAUAUUCACCGCAUAUAGUAAAUAUGAAAGCAAUGUACUGAUUACUAGUGAAAUCAUAGGAUAGAAUAUCAAUGCAGUUAUACAAUUAUAACUCUACAAAUCAAGUUAUCUUUGUUUGGCCAUUAGAAUAAGAAAAUAUAGUCCUGAAACCCAAUCACCAUGACCGACUCAUAGGUCCGGUCAAGCCUGCGCCUGCCUAGUGCGCGGACACACUCCCGCAGGUCUGACGGCGACCCCUAGGCUACUGUCUCAACUAUCACUGGCCAGCAUCCGGAGCGGCACUCGAGGGGAGAUGGCAUCUGCAGGCUAUAAUCUAUAAUCACGAGAAACUGCACCUACUAUAAUCAACUCAAAACGUCAAAAGAGCUAGUUACACCUAUCUUAACUCAAUAUCAAAUGCCCAAGAAGAAUAGGUGAUGCAUAAUGUGAUCAACGCAAGAGAGUAAUAACAAUCUGGUAGUAUCUUUCAAAUGCUAUAACGAGUCACAAUAGCUAGGCUUAUAUUCAUACUCAUGCUCUAAAUCAUGUCUUGAUACUGAAUUUCAUAUUCGCGCUUCAAUUUUCACACAAUGAGGACCAAUGAAAAGUAGACAUAUGUGCAAGUUUAGUUUCAUGUGAGGAUCGAUAAAAAGUAUUUAACUUGUGCCAAAAUAGACAUAAGAGGAAAUUCGCCGUUUUCGGCAACUCGGAACCCACCUCGACUUGCUAUGUCAACUCAGGUAAAAGGAAUGCUACACGCGACCCUUCUCACGAUUGCCCGAAAAUACUACACACGACGAAACAUUUCGAAUUACAAUCAACGAACUAAGAUUUCCAAUAGAGCUCAAUUCACGUAAUUUGAACAUCAAUACCUUAAAUUGCGCCUAAAUGGAAAUGUAUAGCACCCUAAUUCAUGCUCUCGGACACCCUGCGAGUAUCAAUUGCAAUUUAGAAAAGCGAAUUAUGCCAAUUGAAACACUCGAUCCACUUCAUUCUUCCCCUUCAUGCAUACUAUUCCCUUUCUUUUCUUUUCUUUCCAUCUCUUUCUCUCUUGAAUUCUCUCUUUCUUUCCUUCUCUUCUUUCUUUCUUCUUCUUCUUUCUUCUCUUCUUUUUCUUUCUUUUUUUCCUUGCUACCCCUGCAGCAGCAGCAAUUUGCUGCUGCUGCUGGGCAGCUUGCAGCAGCAGCUGCUGCUACUGCUGCUGCAGUACUUUACAGCAGCUUGCUGCUGCUGCUAAAGUACCCGCAGCAGCGGCAGGGCAGCAAAGCUGCAGCAGCAAGAAGAGAGGGGAAGGAAAGGAAGAAGAGAAGAAGAAGAGAAAAAGAAAGGGAAAAGGGAGGAAAGAAGAAUGGAAAGGGAGAAAGAAAAAAAAUACCUUCAAUCUUUUCUUCUUCUUCUUCUUCUACUACUUCUCUCUAUCUCUCUCUCUCUCUCAUUUCCUUUCUCUUCUUCUCCAGGCUGAGGAAAUGAGGGGAAAGGGAUAAGGAUGGAUUUAGUGGAAUUCCACUAAGUUGCCCAUUUGCAUCUUAGUCCAAAAUUUUUGCUAUUUGCAAUAUGGCCCUCAUAAUAAAAUGUUGGCCCAAAUCAUCCGUUUUCGCGUCAAUUUCACGCCAAAACGGUUUCACCUCAUUUCCACCCUCCUUCUCACACCUACACAGGUGACAAAAGUCCGUAUCUUACAUCCUCCCCUCCUUAAAAAAGUUUCGUCCUCGAAACAAACAAACUUACUCAGGAAGCUCAGAAAAUAAAAAGGGAUAGCGCUCCCGCAUCUUAUAUUCAAGUUCCCAUGUCGCCUCCCUUUCGUCAUGAUUGCUCCAAUGUAUCUUCACGUAGGGGAUGACUCGGUUUUGUAGCUUUUUCUCCUGGCGCGCUAGAAUUUGCAUCGGUCGCUCUUCAUAUUUCAAAUCCUCUGCUAAAUCCAAAGAAGAGUAAUCGAUCUGUCACGCCCCGAGACCGAUGCCAAUUUGGCCCGACCCGAGCACGUCAAACAGACGCCGAACGGACAGAGUUUUCCCUNGGGGAUGACUCGGUUUUGUAGCUUUUUCUCCUGGCGCGCUAGAAUUUGCAUCGGUCGCUCUUCAUAUUUCAAAUCCUCUGCUAAAUCCAAAGAAGAGUAAUCGAUCUGUCACGCCCCAAGACCGAUGCCAAUUUGGCCCGACCCGAGCACGUCAAACAGACGCCGAACGGACAGAGUUUUCCCUGUCCGCCCAAGGCUCAUCACACGUACAUUUUCAUCAAUAGAGAAAAGCACUAGCGGAAACAUACAUAAACGGCUUACACGAGGGUAAGCAAUAGCCAUUAGUGAAAGAAUAAGGAAACUAAACAUUCACAAGUAAUAUGAUUCAUUUUAGAUCAUAUACAUUGCAUUCAUCUAGUAAUUUAUCGAAUUCUUACAUUCAUUACAUCAUUUCAUCAUUUCUUUCUUACAUCACGUUUACCUCAAAAUAAGCUUUACAUUUUUUUUUUUUCCUUACAUCAUUUACCAUCAUGUACAAAAGAUGAUCAUAGGGUACUUUACUACGAAAUGAAAUCCAACUUUGGUGGCCUCUGACUAAGGCGCGAUACCUUUACCUCGGUCGCUCGCCGGCUCGCUCGGUCUCGGCUCUGUGGAAAUAGUGGGGUGAGAACUACAACAAAGUUCCCAGUGGGUUCGGCCUCAACAUCACCGACUUUCCCACUAGGACUAACUCAGGCAUAAUAGAAAGGAUAAGCAGGAUAUAGUAACCAAUCUAUAACAUGAUGCUAAUAUGCCUGAACAAAUAGCAAGAAGUAUGCUCAACAUUAAAUAUAUGCAAAUUAUGCAAACUCAUUAGUUCUUUGACUUUACUUUGUACUUUGUUCUUUAUUCUUUGCUCUUUGUUCUUUGUUCUUUAAUCUCAAGGCUAACCCGGAGGUUUCGCCACAUCAACUUGCUUCACAUUAAGUCCAUCAUCGCAGGAACUCACCAGCUAGGACCGUCCUUACGGGUCUACUCCAACCCGGAUGCAUAACUCCGGAGCGCAUCGCCCGAGGGGGAGCGACCGCCCUCGAGCACGGAACUCAUAGCAAGUAUGAUCAUAUCCUUAACUCAAAGAAUUUAUAAGUUCAAUCAUGACUUUACACUAGCUCUAGUGUUCUUUACAUCACUUUAUGUUGCAAACUCAUGCAAUUACAUUCUUUACAUUUCUUUACUCUUGCUAACUCUAGCAUUCUUGUUCUUUACAAUACUUGUUCUUAUUUGCCCCACUUUACUUUACUUUACACAUUGUCAUUUUCAUCAUUCUUUUCAUCACUUUGGUUCUUUGUAUCACACUAACUCUAGUGUUCUUUAUUUUACACUUUCAAAUGCCACUCGAUCUAUGUCAUGUGCCACUCGGUUCUUUUGCUCACUUUGGGUGCUCACAUUUUCUCUCAUGCAUACAUCUAGGGUUUUGACAUUAUUAGGUUCUCAACCAUCUCAUUAUGCAAGUUGUGCUCACAAUCAUGCAAUCAUCAUAUUUCAUCAUUACUUUCCCCUAAUAUGCAUGCAACAAUAUAUAGAACAUAUGCUCAAAGAAUGACACAUUAGGCAUAGAGAGAAUUUCAAUGAGGUUGAGAAGCACCACCCACCUCGUAGGCUUUCAAAGGUGCUCCGACAAUUUUCUUGGGAUUUUUAGAUGCUUCGUUCUUUACCUGCGGCAAAACGAACCCUUAUUAGGCCAUUCUGCUCAUAACUUUACUUUGACUUUUCGUAACGUUAAUCCGAGCGCACCAACGCGUCGGAAAUACCCCCAAUUAGGUUUCUAGAGGGUCAAUUGCACUUAGAAACCCUCAUGAGCAAAAGCCCCAAUUUGGUGCCCUAGCUUCAAUGUAUAUCAAAACCUAGGGUUUGAUCUCAAAGAAAAGCAAAAGUAGCUUCAUUACACUCUAAUUAGUCCAUUAGAACCAUUCUUAGGCUUUCCAAAACCCUAGUUUGGAUUUCACCAUGAGAGGUGGUCCAAGCUUACCUCUAUAGCAAAUCUAGGUUUUGAUCUCUUUAGAAGCAAAAGAAAGCUUCAAGACUCUUCAAAUACUUUCUUAAAACCAUUUCCAAGUUAAUCCAAACCCUAGUUUGGAAUUUAGCAUGAGAAGGGGCAAGGCUUACCUUUAAACUUGCUCCUUUUCCAAGCUAGAGAAGGAGAGGAGAGGUUUUCUUCACUUCCUCUUCUUCUUCUCCUUUUUCUUCUCCUUCUUUUCCCUCCUUUCCUUGUCUUCUUCUUCUCCUUCUUUGUCUUCUAGAGAGAGAGAAAGAGAGAAGAGGGUGUGAGAGGGAGUGGAAUGAGGGGAGAAGCCCCUUAGCCCACUAACAUAGCUCAAUGGGUUGCAAAAAUGCAAUAAAACCCCUCAACUUUCACUUUAAUGCACUGCCCGUACUGGGCAGUUCGCGCAGGCAGAGACCGGUCUCCCCGAGCAGGGACCGGUUCCCGAACGUCCACCCUGCGCAGCCAGAGUCGCUGCGCGCGAUGCGACCGGUCUCUCUCUGAUGGGACCGGUCUCUGGGGGAUCGGUCUCUCAGACAGAGACCGGUUCCCGAGAGCUAAUCUUCCAGGACUUAGCCGAUUUUUCGGCUGUCUCAUUUCAUACGCGUUCGGGGACCGGUCUCUCCCACUAGGGACCGGUCCCCGAGAGCUCAAAAUCUGCAGUUUUGUAGAAUUCGAUUCUUUAGCUCUCGAAAACCUUCCACAACUCGCUUUUACUCAUCUUAACACCUUCGAACUUUCCGAAGUGUACCAUCCUCGCACUUUGGUCAAUUUGACUAAAGUUCGAUAUUUAUUCUCCGAAUUUUCGGUAUAUUACACGAUCACAUGCGUAGGGUCGAAAACAUACUUCCUCAGGGUUGACACGUGAAAGACAUCGUGAACACCGGAAAGUCUAGGUGGCAAAGCAAUACGGUAGGCCACUGGUCCAAUUCGCUCCAAAAUCUCGAAAGGACCAAUAUAACGCGGGCUCAAUUUUCCUCGCAAUCCAAAUCGGUAUAUACCCUUUGACGGCGAAACCUUUAGAAAAACGUGAUCUCCCACCUGAAACUCAAGGUCUCGUCGUCGAGUAUCUGCAUAGCUCUUUUGUCGACUUUGAGCUGCCAAAAUAUGUUGUCGUGCCAGCUUUACCUUUUCUUCUGUUUCCAUCAAAAUGUCUGGGCCCAAAGUCUUUCGUUCACCCACGUCACUCCAAUAUAAGGGAGAUCGACAUCGACGUCCAUAUAAUGCUUCGAAUGGAGCCAUCUUGAUACUCGACUGAUAACUAUUAUUGUAUGCAAACUCCACCAAUGCCAAAUGUCGAUACCAUCCGCCUCCAAAAUCAAGAACACAGGCCCUCAACAUGUCUUCAAGUAUUUGGAUUGUCCUCUCGAUCUGGCCAUCAGUCUGUGGGUGAAACGCAGUGCUGAAGUGGAGCUGAGUCCCCAAGGCGGUCUGUAGACUUUUCCAAAAGUGUGACACUGUCACGCCCCGGGACCUAGCGGAAGCCCGCCCGGCACGUGCCCAGACCCGCCAUACGUCUAAAACAUAUAAGGCGUCUAAAAACAACAAUAAUAAAAGCAAUAAUAAAAGGCAUCUAGGAGUAUCAGAGCAUAAUAAAUAUCUAAAUACAACAACAAGGGAUAAGGAUAAACUGUAAAUCCGCUAAAUAAAACAUAAAGGUGAUACAAGGAGAUCCCAGAUACAAGUGCUAUAGGUAGAUACAUAGGUGGUCUCUAUACAUGGAUAUAAAAACCUCUCACUCUCUCAACUACAAAGGAAAGAGUAAACCACCUAGGCAAAGUACCGCUCCUCGCUAGCUAGCUAAGCGAUCCCCUUGCCGCGAUCCCGUGCCUCCGCCGGUGCCGAAGGCUCUGAAAAGUAAACCAUAAAACAGGGGCGUGAGAACUAUUAAAAAUAGUUCCCAGUGGGCAAUUACUGACUUCAGUGAAUGCACCACAAGGCCCAAAGCUACAAAAGAUGUCAGUGACUAUAAAAGUAGAAAGCGAAAGGUAAGUAAAAAUGUAACUUACUACAACAUGAUAUCUCUACUUAGCAUAAAUAGCAUAAGUAUGAAAGCAACUAUGCAUGAAGUAAAAGUCUCCAACUAUCAUAAUGUUCACAAUGCGAAAUAGUAAAGUUCCGUUGUUUACUAUUCUAGUCAAUGUCCAAGUAGUACACUAAGUCAUCAUCUGUCCACAUGUCAUAAUGAAUACUCAAAGUCAAAUCUGAAGAGACCCACCCGAAGGCUGUCUAUGGCCCUGAGACCCACCCGUAGGCUGUCUGGCCGGUGCCGAGCCUAAUGGCCCCGUGGUAGUCAUCAUCCCCACCCUAGGAAUGAGCCUGGCCCACGGCAAUCCACUUCGGCGCCUAAUCCCGCACGGCGAAUAUGAAUCGCGAUGGCUAUCUCCGGAGUGCCGGCUUGUAGGGAGCGACCCUCACAAGCAUGUGCGAAUGAGCACAAUGGCAAGUAGUCAAACGAUCUGUCACAAGUACCAAGUCCUCAUGUCUAAUAACAUGGAAUAUAUGUCACCAAUCUCAUAGGCCUAUCCCUUAUGUCAUCAUGUCUCUAACAUGGAAUAUAGCAGAUGUGUAGUGGCCUAUCAAUAUGUCUCUAUAUUGCAGUUUCAUAAUUCUCUCGGCCAAGUGCCUCUUUAUAACACUAUGGCUCAUUUUGUCCCAACAUGGAUACUAAGUUCAAGCACUUGUAAUUCUAGUCAAAAUCGAAGCAAGAAACUUGAUUUCCUACCAUCUCAUAGAAUGUUCGCCGCAUGCAU